rnacentral:misc_RNA from 1 species
GAUGAAGAACGUAGCGAAAUGCGAUAAUUAAUGUGAAUUGCAGAAUUCAGUGAAUCAUCGAGUCUUUGAACGCACAUUGCGCCCCCUGGUAUUCCGGGGGGCAUGCCUGUCCGAGCGUCAUUGCUGCCCUCAAGCCCGGCUUGUGUGUUGGGCCCUGCUCCCCCGGGGGCAGGCCCGAAAGGCAGUGGCGGCACCGCGUCCGAUCCUCGAGCGUAUGGGGCUUUGUCACCCGCUCUGUAGGCCCGGCCGGCGCUUGCCGACCCCCAUCAAUCUUUUUUCAGGUUGACCUCGGAUCAGGUAGGGAUACCCGCUGAACUUAAGCAUAUCAAUAAGCGGAGGA